UUUUGACCUCAAAAUUUUUGAGACCCGAUAGAGACCCAAUUCUCAAACCUUUUUUCCCCUUCUCCUUCUCGUCUCUCUCUUCCCUUCGCCCUAGCCGCACUCCCGUAACCACUGUCAUCCUCAGCUCCGACCACCUAACCACCAUCCUCACACCCAUUUUUCUCCGAGCCAAGCUCCAAAUCUCAGGCACUUGUGAACCCCACCCCCGAACGAAGUGACCCCAGGUGCGAGCCCACCUCUGCGUGCCUUCGACCCAGUGGUCUCAUCGUUCUUGGAGAUCGCCGUUGGACAAACUGCCGAGACUGCCAGGCAGUUCUUGCAGAUAAUUUAUGGAAUUUUGUUGGGAGAACAAGCCACAAGUUGGAAGCUUGAGGAGGCUAUUCAGCUUGGGAUUUCCACUGCUCACCGCUCGACUUCUAUUACUAUAGGCCAGAGCAAUAUUCUGGAAGAUUUGGAGACACUGCGACUGCUCUCAAAUCUUGUAUCUUUUUAUUUUAAACGGUUUAUGAUUUUUAUCACAUUGUCCACACAAAAGCCAUUUUUUUACAUGUUUCUAUGUUGGGUUUAUUAUGAAAUGUUUUAGCAUGUGUAUUCUUCUCUGCCCUUUUUCUCUCUCUAUUAAAAAAAUAUUAUAUCACAUGAAUAACUUGGCAACUUUCCCCCUUUACCAUAGAUAUUUUUUGUUCUGCCUUUUGUCAAUUAUUCUUAGCAUGUAUGUUCUAAUUUCUAUGAAAAGGGCAUGAGAGAUGUAUUAUUAGGCAAGAGCACAAAGACUGUUUCCACUUCUUUUGCUCUACUCCACUUUUGGUAAGUGUGAAC